rnacentral:rRNA from 1 species
CAUAAUCUCUGAGGAGAAAAGCAGGGGAUCGCAAGACCUUGUGCUUUUGGAGYGGCCGAUGCCUGAUUAGCUAGUUGGUGGGGUAAAGGCCUACCAAGGCAACGAUCAGUAGUUGGUCUGAGAGGACGACCAGCCACACUGGGACUGAGACACGGCCCAGACUCCUACGGGAGGCAGCAGUGGGGAAUUUUGGACAAUGGGCGCAAGCCUGAUCCAGCCAUGCCGCGUGAGUGAAGAAGGCCUUCGGGUUGUAAAGCUCUUUCAGUCGGGAAGAAAAGGUUGUGRCUAAUAAUUGYRAUUCAU